rnacentral:rRNA from 1 species
UUUUUUUUGGGUUGUUGUAUUUGUGAAUAUUGCACAAUGGGGGAAACCCUGAUGCAGCGACGCCGCGUGAGUGAGGAAGUAUUUCGGUAUGUAAAGCUCUAUCAGCAGGGAAGAAAAUGACGGUACCUGACUAAGAAGCCCCGGCUAACUACGUGCCAGCAGCCGCGGUAAUACGUAGGGGGCAAGCGUUAUCCGGAUUUACUGGGUGUAAAGGGAGCGUAGACGGAAUUGCAAGUCUGAUGUGAAAAUCCGGGGCCCAACCCCGGAAC